rnacentral:rRNA from 1 species
AUUGAACGCUGGCGGCAUGCCUUACACAUGCAAGUCGAACGGUAACGGGCCUUCGGGUGCCGACGAGUGGCGAACGGGUGAGUAAUGCAUCGGAACGUACCCGGGAGUGGGGGAUAACUAUCCGAAAGGAUAGCUAAUACCGCAUAUUCUGUGAGCAGGAAAGCAGGGGACCGCAAGGCCUUGUGCUUCCGGAGCGGCCGAUGUCAGAUUAGCUAGUUGGUGGGGUAAAGGCCUACCAAGGCGACGAUCUGUAGCGGGUCUGAGAGGAUGAUCCGCCACACUGGAACUGAGACACGGUCCAGACUCCUACGGGAGGCAGCAGUGGGGAAUUUUGGACAAUGGGGGCAACCCUGAUCCAGCCAUGCCGCGUGAGUGAAGAAGGCCUUCGGGUUGUAAAGCUCUUUCGGCCGGGAAGAAAUCGGUGAGGCUAAUACCCUCACUGGAUGACGGUACCGGAAUAAGAAGCACCGGCUAACUACGUGCCAGCCGCCGCCGUAACAC